UACGUAGGGGGCUAGCGUUGUCCGGAAUUAUUGGGCGUAAAGAGCUCGUAGGCGGUCUGUCGCGUCGAUCGUGAAAACUUGGGGCUUAACCCUGAGCUUGCGGUCGAUACGGGCAUGACUGGAGUUCGGCAGGGGAGACUGGAAUUCCUGGUGUAGCGGUGAAAUGCGCAGAUAUCAGGAGGAACACCAAUGGCGAAGGCAGCACUCUGGGACGUGACUGACGCUGAGACGCGAAAGCGUGGGGAGCAAACAGG
rnacentral:rRNA from 1 species